UUCAGGACUGACUGCAUAGAACCAGACUCAUCGGGACGCCUCGCCGUUUCUCUGAAUAUGUGAUCAGAUUAGCCAAGGGAUGUUUCCCAACCUAGUAGUGUUUAGGCUUUAGUCAGUCCAAGUAAAUAUAUCUGAAGUAGUAAUGUAUAAGUCAUCGUAGAUUUUUUUUUUUGUGAAUCAUGGAUCAUUCGCGUCGCGCUCGUCUCCUCAACCAGCGGGCAGGCCCUGGAAGACAUCACCCUGUUUGACAGGGAUAAACUGCCCCAGUAUUCAAGUACCGUCGUACUCGUGCCAGAGUACCAGUGCCAGGCACCGAACACCGGACCCGGUGCUUUGCCAAGGACCAGAUACGUCUACACGGGACGAAUGGCCCAGGGCCUCUGACGUCUCGUCAGCUGCCCAACUUCAUCCCUCGAUCACCGAAACGCCAGCAUUACAAUUAUUUUAAAACCUUUUUCGGACUAGUAUCCAGCCACGACGUUUCUUCGACCGGCAAUUAAGAACAUGACUACGAUAAUUUAAUGUGCUUACUUAUUCUGGAUUGUAAUUAAAAAUUGUUAAAUCUACGCAUGUUAAUAACCUAAUAAGGGCCGGCCCUUUCUUGUAACCAUUCUUGUUGUAACCAUUCUUGUAUUAAUGUAAUCUCAAUCCCAUGUUGUUUACGCUUUCUGUUAAUUAAAUCACACGUUGUAACUCUAUAUUAUGUCCAAUAACCAAAAGUAAAAUAAAAACAGAGAAACCAA